AUUGAACGCUGGCGGCAUGCCUUACACAUGCAAGUCGAACGGCAGCACGGGGCAACCUGGUGGCGAGUGGCGAACGGGUGAGUAAUGCAUCGGAACGUACCUUUCAGUGGGGGAUAACGUAGCGAAGGUUACGCUAAUACCGCAUAUUCUGUGAGCAGGAAAGCAGGGGAUCGCAAGACCUUGCGCUGAUUGAGCGGCCGAUGUCAGAUUAGCUAGUUGGUGAGGUAAAGGCUCACCAAGGCGACGAUCUGUAGCGGGUCUGAGAGGAUGAUCCGCCACACUGGAACUGAGACACGGUCCAGACUCCUACGGGAGGCAGCAGUGGGGAAUUUUGGACAAUGGGGGCAACCCUGAUUCAGCCAUGCCGCGUGAGUGAAGAAGGCCUUCGGGUUGUAAAGCUCUUUCGGCCGGGAAGAAAUCGUAUGGGUUAAUACCCUGUGCGGAUGACGGUACCGGCAUAAGAAGCACCGGCUAACUACGUGCCAGCCGCCGCCGUAA
rnacentral:rRNA from 1 species